UACGGAGGGUGCAAGCGUUGUUCGGAAUUACUGGGCGUAAAGAGCGUGUAGGCGGUUGAUUAAGUCAGGUGUGAAAGACCUUGGCUCAACCAAGGACGUGCAUCUGAAACUGGUCUACUUGAGUACGGGAGAGGAGAGUGGAAUUCCUGGAGGAGAGGUGAAAUUCGUAGAUAUCAGGAGGAACACCGGUGGCGAAGGCGACUCUCUGGACCGAUACUGACGCUGAGACGCGCAAGCGUGGGGAGCAAACAGG
rnacentral:rRNA from 1 species